CUACGUGCCAGCAGCCGCGGUAAUACGUAUGUCACAAGCGUUAUCCGGAUUUAUUGGGCGUAAAGGGCACGCAGGCGGUGACUUAAGUGAGGUGUGAAAGCCCCGGGCUUAACCUGGGAAUUGCAUUUCAUACUGGGUCGCUAGAGUACUUUAGGGAGGGGUAGAAUUCCACGUGUAGCGGUGAAAUGCGUAGAGAUGUGGAGGAAUACCGAAGGCGAAGGCAGCCCCUUGGGAAUGUACUGACGCUCAUGUGCGAAAGCGUGGGGAGCAAACAGGAUUAGAUACCCUGGUAGUCCACGCUGUAAACGAUGUCGAUUUGGGGGUUGAGCUUUGAGCUUGGCGCCCGUAGCUAACGUGAUAAAUCGACCGCCUGGGGAGUACGGCCGCAAGGUUAAAACUCAAAUGAAUUGACGGGGGCCCGCACAAGCGGUGGAGCAUGUGGUUUAAUUCGAUGCAACGCGAAGAACCUUACCUACUCUU
rnacentral:rRNA from 1 species